rnacentral:lncRNA from 1 species
GUUUGCUUUUCCAAUUAUUCUGCUGUCAUAAAGCCUUGAAUUUGUUUUACAAGGCAAUGUGGUUGUUGGAGUUGUGAUACAGAUUGUUAGUUUUUUCAUGUUGUUUGAUUGGGAACUAAUCUGCAGUAUGGGAAUGGUUCUUUUGUGAGUGAUUUAGCUGCCUUGUUGAACUUUGAUUAUGGGCUGUUGAGAGACUUGAUUUGCUGCUG